rnacentral:rRNA from 1 species
GAUGAACGCUGGCGGCGUGCCUAAUACAUGCAAGUCGAGCGAACAGACGAGGAGCUUGCUCCUCUGACGUUAGCGGCGGACGGGUGAGUAACACGUGGAUAACCUACCUAUAAGACUGGGAUAACUUCGGGAAACCGGAGCUAAUACCGGAUAAUAUAUUGAACCGCAUGGUUCAAUAGUGAAAGACGGUUUUGCUGUCACUUAUAGAUGGAUCCGCGCCGCAUUAGCUAGUUGGUAAGGUAACGGCUUACCAAGGCAACGAUGCGUAGCCGACCUGAGAGGGUGAUCGGCCACACUGGAACUGAGACACGGUCCAGACUCGUAAGGGAGGCAGCAGUAGGGAAUCUUCCGCAAUGGGCGAAAGCCUGACGGAGCAACGCAGCGUGAGUGAUGAAGGUCUUCGGAGCGUAAAACUCUGUGAUUAGGGAAGAACAAAUGUGUAAGUAACUAUGCAAGUAUUGACGGUACCUAAUCAGAAAGCCACGGCUAACUACGUG